rnacentral:rRNA from 1 species
UAGGUAGUUUGAUCAUGGCUCAGAAUNGAGACGUUGGUCUGUGCAGCCAGCCUAACACAUGCAAGUCGAGCGAGAAAGGUCUUCGGACUGAGUACAGCGGCAAACGGGUGAGUAACGCGUAGGAAUUUACCUUUCAGUGAGGAAUACCCUCGAGAAAUCGAGGUUAAUACUGCAUACGUCUCGCAAGAGAGAAAGAUGGCCUCUUUGCUGUCGCUGAAAGAUGAGCCUGCGUACUAUUAGCUAGUUGGUGGGGUAAAGGCCUACCAAGGCGGUGAUGGUUAGCCGGCCUGAGAGGGUGUACGGCCACACUGGAACUUAGACACGGUCCAGACUCCUACGGGAGGCAGCAGUGAGGAACAUUGCGCAAUGGGCGAAAGCCUGACGCAGCGACGCCGCGUGGAGGAUGAAGGUCUUCGGAUUGUUUUGU